rnacentral:ribozyme from 1 species
AAUCCGGAUAGAGGCAUCAAGGAAGCUCACAAAGGAAGAGGAGAAGAAGCUCAAAGAUAGAGCCAUGCCAAGGUUUAGUCGACUCGAGCUUUUCUUUGCAAAUAUCAUGAACUAUAUUCUCUACGAGACAGUAUUCGGCAAGUGGUUUAGUCCAGUUGUUUGGCUCAUUACUCGGUACAUCACACUGGAGAAUUUGUCCAACAAAGCCUCCACAAGAAAACCAGCAAUCGAUAAGAGUUACCAUGUUGUUGCCAAUAAUGUUAAUUUUGACAUUGAGCAUCAUGAGAUGGAGUACGCCUAUGAUUCUAAAAACGCCAAGGAAGUUCUUCGGGCGUAUAGGGAUGUUUUUCGAGGUCUUCCAUCAAACU